AGAGUUCUAUUUUCUUCUUCCUUGUAAAUAAAAAGAGCCUUCACUGUUGAUUUAUUAUAUUGAUUCACAAAAAUUGUCCACCUCCAAAACAUCAUAUAAAUUUGCUAUCUCUUGGGUAAUUUCUCUCUAAUCCCUGUUAAAUUUGGCCCUAAAACUGGUACAAUUGAACUUUUUAAAAAUACCGGCACUUCUACAGAAAACAAAUUUUAAAUUUAAAAAAAAACAUCAUUAUUAGGGCUCGGAAGUUAUAGGAGUUGCAUAUUUUUCUGCAUAUACUAAAUGUAUAGCAGACCAAGUUAGAAAGUAUUUCUAUACGACAGAGAGUUUUAAAAUUUAAAAUGCA